AUUGAACGCUGGCGGCAUGCCUUACACAUGCAAGUCGAACGGUAACAGGUCUUCGGAUGCUGACGAGUGGCGAACGGGUGAGUAAUACAUCGGAACGUGCCUGGUAGUGGGGGAUAACUACUCGAAAGAGUGGCUAAUACCGCAUGAGAUCUACGGAUGAAAGCAGGGGAUCGCAAGACCUUGUGCUACUAGAGCGGCCGAUGGCAGAUUAGGUAGUUGGUGGGAUAAAAGCUUGCCAAGCCGACGAUCUGUAGCUGGUCUGAGAGGACGAUCAGCCACACUGGGACUGAGACACGGCCCAGACUCCUACGGGAGGCAGCAGUGGGGAAUUUUGGACAAUGGGCGCAAGCCUGAUCCAGCAAUGCCGCGUGCAGGAUGAAGGCCUUCGGGUUGUAAACUGCUUUUGUACGGAACGAAAAGCCCUGGGUUAAUACCCUGGGGUCAUGACGGUACCGUAAGAAUAAGCACCGGCUAACUACGUGCCAGCCGCCGCAGUAA
rnacentral:rRNA from 1 species